AUGGAAGCCCGUGAGCUCGAGAAUGUUCUUUCCUCUGCCAAGCGCCUCCCCCUGCUCCUGCCAAAGUUUCCUAUCAUGAACUUGGUUGAUCAUGAUGUUGUCUGCUUUGUGUUGAAUAAUAGAAACGACACUUUCUGGCUGGUUGAGGUCAAUCUGAGGAAGAAGGCGCUUGGGGCAGUCACCCUCUAUACCAACGAAGAAAAAGAAAACCAAGCAGCAGCAGAAGAACACCUGACCUGGGAUGACAUUGUCCGCAAUACCUUCUUCACCACCGUCUCCGUCAACCCCAUCUCCUUCAUCCCCAGCCAAUUCAUCAUGUACUUGGAUAGGCAUGCCAUCAAAAGCAUUUCUUAG
rnacentral:rRNA from 1 species